UACGGAGGGGGCUAGCGUUGUUCGGAAUUACUGGGCGUAAAGAGCGCGUAGGCGGUCCGGUAAGUCUGCUGUGAAAUCGCUCGGCUCAACUGGGCGGGGUCGGUGGAAACUGGUCACCUGGAGGACGGUAGAGGCGAGUGGAAUUCCCGGUGUAGUGGUGAAAUGCGUAGAGAUCGGGAGGAACACCAGUGGCGAAGGCGGCUCGCUGGUCCAUUACUGACGCUGAGGUGCGAAAGCGUGGGGAGCAAACAGG
rnacentral:rRNA from 1 species